GGGAAUAUUGACAAUGGAGGAAACUCUGAUGCAGCGAUGCCGCGUGAGUGAAGAAGGCCUUUGGGUUGUAAAGCUCUUUCGUCGGGGAAGAAAAUGACUGUACCCGAAUAAGAAGGUCCGGCUAACUUCGUGCCAGCAGCCGCGGUAAU
rnacentral:rRNA from 1 species